rnacentral:rRNA from 1 species
GACGAACGCUGGCGGCGCGCCUAACACGUGCAAGUCGAACGGAGCUUAGAGAGCUUGCUUUUUAAGCUUAGUGGCGAACGGGUGAGUAACGCGUGAGUAACCUGCCCUAGAGUGGGGGACAACAGUUGGAAACGACUGCUAAUACCGCAUAAGCCCACGGUGCCGCAUGACACUGAGGGAAAAGGAUUUAUUCGCUUUAGGAUGGACUCGCGUCCAAUUAGCUAGUUGGUGAGGUAACGGCCCACCAAGGCGACGAUUGGUAGCCGGACUGAGAGGUUGAACGGCCACAUUGGGACUGAGACACGGCCCAGACUCCUACGGGAGGCAGCAGUGGGGGAUAUUGCACAAUGGGGGAAACCCUGAUGCAGCGACGCCGCGUGGAGGAAGAAGGUUUUCGGAUUGUAAACUCCUGUCGUUAGGGACGAUAAUGA